UAGAAACUGCCACCUUACACCUUGAGGUA
rnacentral:sRNA from 1 species